GUGUCAGCCGCCGCGGUAAUACGUAGGUGGCAAGCGUUGUCCGGAUUUAUUGGGCGUAAAGGGAGCGCAGGCGGUCUUUUAAGUCUGAAUGUGAAAGCCCUCAGCUUAACUGGGGAACUGCAGCUGAAACUAUUUUUCUUGAGUGCAGAAGAGGAGAGUGGAACUCCAUGUGUAGCGGUGGAAUGCGUAGAUAUAUAGAAGAACACCAGUGGCGAAGGCGGCUCUCUGGUCUGUAACUGACGCUGAGGUUCGAAAGCAUGGGUAGCGAGCAGGAUUAGAUACCCUGGUAGUCCAUGCCGUAAACGAUGAGUGCUAAGUGUUGGGAGGUUUCCGCCUCUCAGUGCUGCAGCUAACGCAUUAAGCACUCCGCCUGGGGAGUACGACCGCAAGGUUAAAACUUAAAUGAAUUGACGG
rnacentral:rRNA from 1 species